UGCGGCUCCUGCAGCUUUCUGCCUCGGGGCACCCGAACUGAAAACAGCGAUCGCCCGCUUCCCUGUCAGCAGCAGUGGCGGAGCGCGCGUUUCUGAGAGCGAGGAGAAGAAGGGGCUCCCCUUAACUCCAAGGCACGCCUUUGUAACCAGGUCCGGUUACUUCAACCAACGCUGCACGCAACAAAACAAACUAUCGAAGCCUCCCAGCAGACACAGUGACUUUAACGAGGGCUCUUACAGGCAAUCCAUUGGAUUCAGCCUCUGGAAACUUGCAACACGUUGCUCCUUUCUCCAUCCAACCGAACGCACGAAAUAAAGCAGAAAAUGAUCACCGGGCAGAUCACAGUGUGGGAUUCAAAGAGCACUGCUUCCCUGCCGUAGCUGAAGUGAGCCAGUUGGCCAGAUUUGUCAUUGAGAGCUUUAAUCUGCUUUGGACUGGAAGGGCUCAGCAGGGACUUUGUUCAGGUUUUUGGCUGAAAGUAUCUAAAAAUCCACUGAAGUUCUAUUUUCGAGCAUAAAUCCUCUCUUGGACCUCACCUCAAGAAACACACAGAAAGCUUCAAUUCAAGUCGUCCCAGCGCCAGGGACAGGACAAAAGGCGUUCGCAAUCCAAGUGACAAGAGGUGAACUCUGCAGUCAGAGCAAUCUACAGAAUUGGCUACAGGUAUUUGUACACAGGUUUGCAUCAGAUGCUGAAGUGUGAGGGCACUGUGAAUAUUCUGGGAAAGAAGAGGAGGGGAAAGGGAAAGAAACGUGUGAUGGGUUUACUUCUGCUUUGAUUCGGCUACAUUCAGUCCUUCUUACUUCUUAGCAUUUGAACCCAAAAGUAAAUGUGACUUAGAGAUGAAUGACUUUCCACCACUGUUAAGAAAUCCCAUGAUGAUAUUUAUCAUAUGAUCACAUCAUGAUGUGUGAUCCCCAGAUGUGUUAAAAUCGGAAUAACUUUGUGCUCUUUGGAACUAGAUUUCCUUUGCCAGGUGGGUGUGAGCAGCCGAGAAGCCACAGCAGAGAGAAGCCAGGACUGAACGCACCUCCUGGGGUGAAGGAAGGCACGAGCUGCACCUGAACACCUUCUUACUCUGUGUCACGUGUUGCUUACAUCUCCUCACAGCCUGUCUCCUGCUAAAACUUUUCCCCUUCUGUGGGGACCCAAAAUUAUUACUCUGUUUUGUUUCAUGCUGUCCUCCCCCGCUGUCACAGAAUAUCCUGAGUUGGAAGGGACCCUCAAAGACCAGACUCCAACUCCCAGCUCCAUGCAGGAGGGAACAGGCCAGAAAUGAAGACAAAUCUUGCUGAGCUCCCCUGCUGUAUGAGCUGUGCUCUAAGAUGAUAAAUACACCUUGUUAAAGAGAGAGAAGAAAGGCCACAUGGCAAUUUCAGAAAAUGGAAGUAGGUUCAAAAGCAGCAUCCCGUGAGAGCUCCCCCCAGUCUCCUUUCUGAUGGAGGGAGGUGCCCAGCAGCCCCACGCUCUGUAUUUGGCUGUCAAUGCUUUUCUCCACCCUACCGUGUCAUACAACAGCACCAUGAGUCACGGAUGUACACACAGUACUGUAUGUGCUUUGUCAUCACGUUAAUUGCAGGUAUUUUAUGACGGGACACCAGCAGAUGUCAGUUUAAUCUCAAAAAAGAACUCUGCAUAGAUGAUUUAUCAGCCUUUGCGUCAGUGAGUUUCCACCAAAGUAACAACUUGAAGCUGGGAAUCAGAAGUCAGCUUUUUCCUGCCUGGAAAUCAAAAGGGUUGCACACACAAUUUUUUUUGGUGGUCAUUUUGCAUAUAUGAAUUUGUCAAGGCAAUGCAGUAUGAACAUUUAAUACAAGAAGAAUACAGUCAGUCAUUUUGUAAUUGCAAUUGUCAGUCAAUAUCCUGUCCCACACAACAGCUAACAUUUAAGCCAUUCAUAGGUUUGCUUUUCAGAACACAAAUAUUUUAAGGUAGGAACAGGUAAGCUUGAUAAGGUUGGGAAACAAAAACAAAGCAACAGUGCCAUCUAGAAGUGCAGUGCUGAAGACAGGAAAUACUUUGGAAGAUUUAAGUUCAAAGUAACGAACCAAACCAACCCAAACCUCCAAAACAAUCCUUCCUACAUCAUUCACUGCUCCAAGCACGGGCUGGGGAAGGCGUCCCUCCAAGUCCCAGGGCAUGAACUUCCAGAGGGGAUCAGUGCUGAUAAAAGACAAAGUACUUGCACUCAUAACAUCAGACGGGCCUUAAUCAAAGAGCAGCUUCUGCCCAGGGCAAUGCUGGCUGCCUCACAACACAGACACUGAAUUUUAAUUAAACUGAUAGAGGAAACUCAGGGCUGGGGUUUGAGGGCUGCCAUGAAGCCAGGUACCUUCAGUGCUCACUGCUCUGCGGUGCACAUUUGGGCUUUAAUAACAUCAGAUAUCCCCAGAUAAGUUCUGUGCAUGGCCCAGGGAGAAAAGGAACGGAGAGCCACAAAAGCACCCUUGGCUUCAAAAACUUUCAUAAGAGAUACUUCAUGACUUUGUGAUUCUACCAGCAUGGGAACUGUAGGGAAACAAGGCAAGAAGCCCCCUCAUGUGACAGAUAAGAGAAGUGAUGUCUUCAAGUCAGCUCUCAGACACGUUAUCUUGCAUAAAUCUUAUUUCUCAAUUCCUAUUUUCUUCCAGUGUCUUUUUCACUUCUCCUGGUACUGGAAGCCAAGGGGAUGAAAAUGUUCCUUCUCUUCCAAGCUUGCACCCUCCUCACUGUACAUGCUGGGUUAGCAUGACUGCUAAGGGAAAAGAUUUGUUCCCUUCUCUGCAGUUGGUAAUGUGCUGGGUGCCGUUCCUGGGAAGGGCUGGAACAUUCAUGGGUUUGUUACAGGAAACAGAGAAGCAGCACGGCUACUUGGAAACUGAAACGUUCCUCUGGGACUGGAAUGGGUAAUUACAGCACUGCUAAAUCCACCCAAAGCCAAUACGAGGACUUUAACGUCCUGACUUACGUUAAUGAAUUGCUUCCAUCAAUUCUACAUCAUUAAUUGAAAUUUAAUAAUUUAAAAUUAAUUAUGAAGAACAUAAUAAAGAAUUUUACAUUAA